rnacentral:rRNA from 1 species
UGAACGCUGGCGGCGUGCCUAAUACAUGCACGUCGAGCGAACAGACGCGGAGCUUGCUCCUCUGACGUUAGCGGCGGACGGGUGAGUAACACGUGGAUAACCUACCUAUAAGACUGGGAUAACUUCGGGAAACCGGAGCUAAUACCGGAUAAUAUAUUGAACCGCAUGGUUCAAUAGUGAAAGACGGUUUUGCUGUCACUUAUAGAUGGAUCCGCGCCGCAUUAGCUAGUUGGUAAGGUAACGGCUUACCAAGGCAACGAUGCGUAGCCGACCUGAGAGGGUGAUCGGCCACACUGGAACUGAGACACGGUCCAGACUCCUACGGGAGGCAGCAGUAGGGAAUCUUCCGCAAUCGGCGAAAGCCUGACGGAGCAACGCCGCGUGAGUGAUGAAGGUCUUCGGAUCGUAAAACUCUGUUAUUAGGGAAGAACAAAUGUGUAAGUAACUAUGCACGUCUUGACGGUACCUAAUCAGAAAGCCACGGCUAACUACGUG